AGUGGCUGCACGCAGCCCACCUCUCCCGACGAUCCGGGUCCUCCCGCCCUUCGCGGUGAUUCUGUCGCGAACCCUCUCACGGCAGCUAUGAGACUGCUGCGCUCCCCAGACGAGGAAACCUGGUCUCCCGGAGCCAGGUGGAGUCUCGCUCUGUCGCCCAGGCUGGAGUGCGGUGGCGCGAUCUCGGCUCACUGCAAGCUCCGCCUCCCGGGUUCACGCCAUUCUCCUGCCUCAGCCUCCCGAGUAGCUGGGACUACAGCUCUGGGACAAACCAGCUUCUAUGUCAUGAGCACACUCAGGCAGCUCAUUGGAGAGAUCUGCAUGGUAAAGCAAUGAGGCCUCCUGCCAGCAGCCAUGUGAGUGGCAUCUUGGAGCCAGACCCUCCAGCCCCAGUCAAGCCUUCGGAUGCCUGCAGCCCUGGCUGACAUUUUAACCACAACUUCAUGAGAGAUUCUGAGCCAGAAUCACCCAGCUAAGCUGCUCCCGGGUUGCCAGCCUCCCAGCAUUUCUGCGUCU
rnacentral:lncRNA from 10 species